GAUGAACGCUGGCGGCGUGCCUAAUACAUGCAAGUAGAACGCUGAAGGAGGAGCUUGCUCUUCUGGAUGAGUUGCGAACGGGUGAGUAACGCGUAGGUAACCUGCCUGGUAGCGGGGGAUAACUAUUGGAAACGAUAGCUAAUACCGCAUGACAACAGUUAUUGCAUGAUAACUGUUUAAAAGGGGCAACUGCUCCACUACCAGAUGGACCUGCGUUGUAUUAGCUAGUUGGUGAGGUAACGGCUCACCAAGGCGACGAUACAUAGCCGACCUGAGAGGGUGAUCGGCCACACUGGGACUGAGACACGGCCCAGACUCCUACGGGAGGCAGCAGUAGGGAAUCUUCGGCAAUGGACGGAAGUCUGACCGAGCAACGCCGCGUGAGUGAAGAAGGUUUUCGGAUCGUAAAGCUCUGUUGUAAGAGAAGAACGAGUGUGACAGUGGAAAGUUCACACUGUGACGGUAUCUUACCAGAAAGGGACGGCUAACUACGUG
rnacentral:rRNA from 1 species